rnacentral:rRNA from 1 species
CCUACGGGUGGCAGCAGUAGGGAAUCUUCCACAAUGGGCGAAAGCCUGAUGGAGCAACGCCGCGUGGGUGAAGAAGGUCUUCGGAUCUUAAAACCCUGUUGUUAGAGAAGAAAGUGCGUGAGAGUAACUGUUCACGUUUCGACGGUAUCUAACCAGAAAGCCACGGCUAACUACGUCCCAGCAGCCGCUGUAAUACGUAGGUGGCAAGCGUUAUCCGGAUUUAUUGGGCGUAAAGGGAACGCGGGCGGUCUGUUAAGUCUGAUGUGAAAGUCUUCGGCUUAACCGGAGUAGUGCAUUGGAAACUGGGAGACUUGAGUGCAGAAGAGGAGAGUGGAACUCCAUGUGUAGCGGUGAAAUGCGUAGAUAUAUGGAAGAACACCAGUGGCGAAAGCGGCUCUCUGGUCUGUAACUGACGCUGAGGUUCGAAAGCGUGGGUAGCAAACAGGAUUAGAUACCCCAGUAGUC